rnacentral:rRNA from 1 species
UACGUAGGGGGCUAGCGUUGUCCGGAUUUAUUGGGCGUAAAGAGCGUGUAGGCGGCCAGGUAGGUCUGCUGUGAAAACUCGAGGCUCAACCUCGAGACGUCGGCGGAAACCAUCUGGCUAGAGUCCGGAAGAGGAGAGUGGAAUUCCUGGUGUAGCGGUGAAAUGCGCAGAUAUCAGGAGGAACACCGGUGGCGAAGGCGGCAUCCUGGACCGAAAUUGACGCUGAUGCGCGAAAGCCAGGGGAGCAAACGGG